GAGCCAGCAAGUGUUCCAGGGGGACGUGGCCCGCGCUUUUUUUUCCGGUGGGACCUGCGCGAGCCCAAGAGGGGUUUUGAUACACUAAUUUAACCGGUAUCUAGAUCACCAUGGCGACUGGACAGAAAUUGAUGAGAGCCAUUAGAGUUUUAGAAUUUGGUGGACCAGAAGUCCUGAAACUACAGUCCGAUGUUGCAGUACCAUUUCCAAAAGACAAUCAGGUUCUAAUCAAAGUCCAUGCAUGUGGUGUAAACCCAGUGGAGACAUAUAUUCGCUCUGGGACUUACAGUAGAAAACCACUCUUACCCUAUAUACCUGGUUCAGAUGUGGCUGGAGUAAUAGAAGCUGUUGGAGAUAACGUGUCUACUUUUAAGAAAGGUGACAGAGUCUUCACGAGCAGCACUAUCACUGGGGGCUAUGCAGAUUAUGCUCUUGCAGCAGACCACACUGUUUACACACUGCCGGAAAAGCUGGACUUUAAACAAGGGGCGGCCAUUGGGAUCCCCUAUUUUACUGCUUAUCGAGCUCUGUUUCACAGUGCCCAUGUGAAAGCUGGAGAAAGUGUUCUGGUUCAUGGAGCUAGUGGAGGAGUUGGACUAGCAGCAUGCCAAAUUGCUAGAGCUUAUGGCUUAAAGGUUUUGGGCACAGCUGGCACUGAGGAAGGACAAAAGAUUGUUUUGCAAAAUGGAGCUCAUGAAGUGUUUAAUCACAGAGAAGUUAAUUAUAUUGAUAAAAUUAAGAAAUCUGUUGGUGAAAGUGGAAUCAAUGUGAUUAUUGAAAUGUUAGCUAAUGUAAAUCUUAGUAAGGAUUUGAAUCUUCUGUCAUAUGGAGGCCGAGUCAUAGUUGUUGGUAGCAGAGGUCCUAUUGAAAUAACACCACGGGACACCAUGGCAAAGGAAUCAAGCAUAAUUGGAGUCUCUCUCUAUUCAUCAACCAAGGAGGAAUUUCGGCAGUGUGCUGCAGCUCUUCAAGCUGGAAUCGAAAUUGGUUGGUUGAGACCUGUGAUAGGUUCUCAGUAUCCAUUGGAGAAGGUGGCCCAGGCUCAUGAAAAUAUCAUUUAUGGCAGUGGGGCUACUGGAAAAAUGAUUCUUCUCUUACAAUGAUGAAUUCUUCCAUGUAUUUUCUGUGUGAAUAGAAGUUUCUAGUUUUAGUGCAUAAUUUGUGCUUAUAUUCAUUUGAUUCAGUGAAUUUCUUAUAUUAAAAAAAGACUUACUUUUAGAAGUCAUGAGCACUAAAGUACAAUUUACUUUGUAGCUAGCAAUGUUGUUGUUGUUUUUUAUGCUACUGUAAAUUAAGUAGUCAUCAUAUUAGGAAAUAGAUGUUUGUGAUGACAUUGGGGUACAUUCCAGAAAUUUUGAACUGACGCUUGGUUAUUGAUUUCCUACCAUUCACUAAAACAUAGUAAUUCAAAAUAAGAUUACUGAUUUCCAAGCCUAUUUCUCCUUAGAAAGGUUUCUCAGUCUCUGAUUAGCCCACAACUGCAGAUGUCCUGGAGAUGUCCUGGACUAAAAGGACCCCUUUUCCAAAGUAAUCUCAUCUGGAUCUAGAAGUUUCUCGGAAAAGCAACAAUAAACAUCUUCCAGAGAAAUUUCAUAUUACUUUUGAAGAUUUCCUUUAAGUGUUACUUUUGGUUGGAUGACUGUUCUGAUGUCACUAACAGAGGAGAUGUUUUUUCUCUACAAAGAGCAACCGAGUCAGAUACAUCUGAGCAUAGUCUUUAUCUUCCAUCAGUGUGGCUUAGUAGAACUCAGGUUUUAUGGUGGUAAAUUAGGAGCAAUUGUGACUUGCCUUCAGAUUGUUCUGAAACUUAUGCUAGACAAGUCUAAUGCCUUUACGCAGUGCUUGACACAUAGAAGGCCCAUGAGAAAUCUAGUUCUGUAUGAUUAAACACUCAAUAAACUUGUUGAA